AUUGAACGCUGGCGGCAUGCUUUACACAUGCAAGUCGAACGGUAACAGGUUGAGCUGACGAGUGGCGAACGGGUGAGUAAUGCAUCGGAACGUGCCCGAUCGUGGGGGAUAACACUUCGAAAGAAGUGCUAAUACCGCAUACGAUCUGAGGAUGAAAGCGGGGGACCGUAAGGCCUCGCGCGAUCGGAGCGGCCGAUGUCAGAUUAGGUAGUUGGUGGGGUAAAGGCUCACCAAGCCGACGAUCUGUAGCUGGUCUGAGAGGACGACCAGCCACACUGGGACUGAGACACGGCCCAGAAUCCUACGGGAGGCAGCAGUGGGGAAUUUGGGACAAUGGGCGCAAGCCUGAUCCAGCUAUGCCGCGUGCAGGAAGAAGGCCUUCGGGUUGUAAACUGCUUUUGUACGGAGCGAAAAGGCUCUCUCUAAUACAGGGGGCUCAUGACGGUACCGUAAGAAUAAGCACCGGCUAACUACGUGCCAGCCGCCGCAGUAA
rnacentral:rRNA from 1 species